GGAUCAGUAGCUCAAUGGUAGAGCAGUUGACUCUUAAUCAAUUGGUUGAAGGUUCGAGUCCUUCCUGGUCCACCA
rnacentral:tRNA from 1 species